rnacentral:rRNA from 1 species
GACGAACGCUGGCGGCGUGCUUAACACAUGCAAGUCGAACGAAGUGGCGAACGGGUGAGUAACGCGUAAUCCACCUGCCCUUCAGAGGGGGACAACAGUUGGAAACGACUGCUAAUACCGCAUACUGAUGGAGGAGGUUUCGUCUGAUUAGCUAGUUGGAGGGGUACCGGGCCACCAAGGCGAUGAUCAGUAGCCGGGCUGAGAGGAUGGACGGCCAAAUUGGGACUGAGACACGGCCCAGACUCCGACGGGGGGCAGCAGGGGGGAAUCUUCCGCAAUGGACGAAAGUCUGACGGAGCAACGCCGCGGGAGUGAUGACGGCCUUCGGGUUGGAAAGCGCUGUUAAUCGGGACGCGGUACCGGAAUAGAAAGCCACGGCUAACUACGUGCCAGCAGCCGCGGUAAUAC